GCUUGAAGUCACGGAUGUCGAC
rnacentral:miRNA from 1 species